rnacentral:tRNA from 1 species
GCCUGGGUGACUCAAUCGGUUGAGUGUUUGACUUCGGCUCAGGUCAUGAUCUCGCAGCUUGUGAGUUCAAGCCCCAUAUCGGGCU